rnacentral:rRNA from 1 species
AUACGGAGGGUGCAAGCGUUAAUCGGAAUUACUGGGCGUAAAGCGUACGUAGGCGGUUCGUUAAGUUAGAUGUGAAAGCCCCGGGCUUAACCUGGGAACUGCAUUAAAAACUGGCGAACUAGAGUUGAGUAGAGGGGAGUGGAAUUUCAGGUGUAGCGGUGAAAUGCGUAGAGAUCUGAAGGAACACCAGUGGCGAAGGCGACUCCCUGGACUCGAACUGACGCUGAGGUACGAAAGCGUGGGUAGCAAACGGGAUUAGAAACCCCAGUAGUCC